UACGAAGGGGGCUAGCGUUGCUCGGAAUCACUGGGCGUAAAGGGUGCGUAGGCGGGUCUUUAAGUCAGGGGUGAAAUCCUGGAGCUCAACUCCAGAACUGCCUUUGAUACUGAAGAUCUUGAGUUCGGGAGAGGUGAGUGGAACUGCGAGUGUAGAGGUGAAAUUCGUAGAUAUUCGGAAGAACACCAGUGGCGAAGGCGACUCACUGGACAACUGUUGACGCUGAGGUGCGAAAGCGUGGGGAGCAAACAGG
rnacentral:rRNA from 1 species